rnacentral:rRNA from 1 species
AUUGAACGCUGGCGGCAUGCCUUACACAUGCAAGUCGAACGGUAACAGGUCUUCGGAUGCUGACGAGUGGCGAACGGGUGAGUAAUACAUCGGAACGUGCCUAGUAGUGGGGGAUAACUACUCGAAAGAGUGGCUAAUACCGCAUGAGAUCUACGGAUGAAAGCAGGGGAUCGCAAGACCUUGUGCUACUAGAGCGGCCGAUGGCAGAUUAGGUAGUUGGUGGGAUAAAAGCUUACCAAGCCGACGAUCUGUAGCUGGUCUGAGAGGACGAUCAGCCACACUGGGACUGAGACACGGCCCAGACUCCUACGGGAGGCAGCAGUGGGGAAUUUUGGACAAUGGGCGAAAGCCUGAUCCAGCAAUGCCGCGUGCAGGAUGAAGGCCUUCGGGUUGUAAACUGCUUUUGUACGGAACGAAAAGCCCCGGGUUAAUACCCUGGGGUCAUGACGGUACCCGGAGAAGAAGCCCCGGCUAACUUCGUGCCAGCAGCCGCCGUAA